GUUCUUCUUACUCUCAAAAUCUCUUUUUUUCUCUUUCUUUAAUAAUCUCUGUUUUUUUUUUCUUUCUUCAAAAAUCUCUGUUUAGAAUCUUCUGACCUGUUGUUCUACUUCUACAACUCAAGUUUAUCUCUGAACUUCUCAUCCCCCGAGCGAGCGAGACUAGCAAUAGAGUCAUAAGAGACAUCACCCCUACUUUUUUUAAGAUGUUGAUGAUGAACACAAAUUCAAAAGGAGUGUGUAACGAAAAGGCCAUAAUGGAGUUAUAUGAUCUCACUCACAUUCAUAUCCUUUGAGAAAAUGCAGACGCCAAAGAAAGGGAGUGCUUGAAGAGAUACAUGAUGAGAAGAUGUAUGUUAGGGUGCAUGUGUGAUGAUGUGUAGAGUAUGUCAGCUCGUAGAAGAUGUAUAGGUAUGGUGUGUAACGUAUGAUUGUAUAGAUGAGAUAAAAAAAAGUGUAGGAUGUGGACGUGUGGAUGUAUGCUUUGUAUAGAUUAGAUGAAUAUGUAGAAUGUGGAUGUUUGUAUAGUUAGUUAGAUAAAUGUUAGGAUGUGUAUAAGGUGAAUGUGUAGGAUAUGAUGUUUGUAUAAAUUAGAUGAAUGUUUAGGAUGUGUAUAGGUUAGUUAGAUAAAUGUUAGGAUGUGUAUAAGGUGAAUAUGUGUAGGAUGUUUGUAUAAAUUAGAUCAAUGUUUAGGAUGUGUAUAAGGUGAAUGGAGGAUGCAUAUGGUGGAGAAUGUGGGUGACUGAUGUUUUAGAUCAAUGCAGAUGAAUGUGAUAACGAUUUCGGGGUUAUUUAUAAAACUUUGGAUCGGGUUCGGUGUGGUUC